rnacentral:tRNA from 1 species
GGAAGAGACUCGCACCCCGGUAGGGCGCACGGACUUCAAAUCCUGUGAGAAGCGUCGGACGUCUCUGGUGGGUUCGACUCCCACUCUUUUCCGCCA